rnacentral:rRNA from 1 species
ACGGGAGGCAGCAGUGGGGAAUAUUGGGCAAUGGGCGAAAGCCUGACCCAGCAACGCCGCGUGAAGGAAGAAGGUCUUCGGAUUGUAAACUUCUUUUAUGAGGGACGAAGGACGUGACGGUACCUCAUGAAUAAGCCACGGCUAACUACGUGCCAGCAGCCGCGGUAAUACGUAGGUGGCAAGCGUUAUCCGGAUUUAUUGGGUUUAAAGGGAGCGUAGGCGGAAGGUCAAGUCAGCUGUGAAAUGUAGUCGCUCAACGUCUGCACUGCAGUUGAAACUGGCCUCCUUGAGUGCGUAAGAGGCAGGCGGAAUUCGUCGUGUAGCGGUGAAAUGCUUAGAUAUGACGAAGAACUCCGAUUGCGAAGGCAGCUUGCUGGGCCGCAACUGACGCUGAAGCUCGAAGGUGCGGGUAUCAAACAGGAUUAGAUACCCUGGUA